CAUAGGCCCUCAAGGCAUUC
rnacentral:miRNA from 1 species